rnacentral:rRNA from 1 species
AAUCAAUCCCGACCGAUCUCGAUCUCUUUCUCGAGAAAAAACAUGAUCUCGAUCUCGUCCGCCCGUCGGAGUCGACACCAACGGCGGCGCUGCUUCUCGAGGACCCCGCGGCCGAGCCCCGUCCACUCGCUCCCUGUGCCUUUGCCUCAACGUGCGCCUCCGCAAGCCGUCGCUCCCGCCACCACCUUCCCUACCGUGUGCACCCCGAGCGACACCCUCGAAUCCUCUACAGGCGCCCACCCUCACGCCGGCCCCAAACCCUGCCAGUAUCCUAACUAGAUGUCCUCUCUAGAACGAGCGGUCGGCGAGGAUGCUGGUGAUACACGGGGCCUGCUCGAGAAUUUCCAGGUUGAGUAGUUGCGGUUGUCCCACCGGCAGACCAUCUUGUCAUUGUAGUGCUGCUCUUUGUGACAGGGCAUGAGCAGGAUGUCGGCACGAACCUCGUCCAGACAACGGCGGAUGGUCUUCAGGAAUCCUGUGGCUGCAACAUAGGACGAUGGUAGGAGGUGGAUUCACAUGCCCCCUUGGGCGCCUCUCCACCGCUGCACCCCAUUUCCCUUCCUAAGGUUGUGUUUUAUUUCACAUUGAUCAAUUUGUGGGGAGCAGGCCCAUAUGUAGCAAGGAGCAAGCUGCACAAGAAAUUAAUUGGAAUCAAGAUACUCAUCUUUAAUUUAAUAGUAAGGGGUUGAGACUUGGACAAACAAGAACAAGAACAAUUUAUUAUCAAGAUAUCUGCUUUGCAAAUCUACGACGAGAUCGUCAAGGAUCUUCUACGGCCUGAUUCUGGCCCCCUUCGCUUGUUAGAUAAUCCUGAGGUUUGCAACAGAAAGGAACCAUCGUGGACAAGUUGGAUGAAGGAAUCGCCAAGGACAGCCAGUAUCUAAGGCAUCUAAUAGCCAUUUGUGAAGGCACUGCUACAUAUGCAUAACAAAGACAUCUUGGUGAAACUGCACUAAGUGACACAAGUACACGUUCCCACCAAAUCAUUAGGCUGUUUAUAUCUAUAUCCAGACUGUGGAGAGUAUGCUCCAUGAAGCGCCAGGUCGUGUUAUAUCUUUUAUUACUAACUUGAAUUUCGUUGACCUUGCUUGAAGCGAGCGUGCUGCACAAACACAUGCUGUUAGUGCAAGGUUGAAAGAAGGCGCCAUAUUAAUCGCAGCUUGUUGACUUUGACUACUUUCAUCAGAAAGCUCAGAGAAGAUAAGUUUCAAAUCAUAGGAUCCUCUGAUGACAUUUCUGCCAUACAAGCAAUAAGCUUUGAAGUCCGUAAUGUCAACUAUUGAGUAGCAACUAGGAAGAAUUAAGUGGCAAUGAACCUCUCUGAUAAUGAAAAAUUAUUAUCUGUAACCUUUCCUAUGUUGAUUACUUGUUCACUCUUUGUGGUUUAAGGCUCUUAUAUUAGUGUUGGGCCGGUACUGGCAGCGCACCUAUGCUAUUAGUUUGAUUGGCUGAUGAUUUUUUUCAGGCUUAUUUCGAAGUUGAAUAUAUUUCCUUGAACGAGCAUCUUGAGUUCUUGACAUGGCUUGUGAGGCAGCUAAUUUUUUUAUAUUGAUCUAUACCCUCCUUCAGAAUAUAAGAUGAUAUCACAUAUAUUAUGAUGAAUAGACAUUGAAUUGUUUUUUCAAUUGCAGUGGCUAUUGUUUACCUUCCCUGCGGAAGAAGAAUCAUAUGCUUCAGCAAGCCAGACUUUAUUGUAGAUCAGUUCAUCUUGCCAAUGUUUCUAUCAUAUACUCCCUCCGUUCCUAAAUAUAAGUCUUUUUAGAUAUUUAAAAUGGACUAUAACAAACGGAUGUAUGUAGACAUAUUUUAGAGUGUAGAUUCACUUAUUUCGCUCCAUAUGUAGUCACUUGUUGGAAUCUCUAAAAAGACUUAUAUUUAGGAAUGGAGGGAGUAUAUUUAUAUGCUCCAGUUCUUCAAGACUUGCAUUGAUUUCUUCUCCAGAAAUUUGUGUGCUCUUGCUCCUGCAUGAAGGAUUGAUGGAUUUUGCUGCUCUUGGCUUGAUAAAAUUUAGCAUUUCUAGGUUUUCUGUUUAGUUUUUCAUGAUACAGUCUCACUAUGUAAUUGGUAAUUAGAAUUUAGAAUCAUAUUCAGUCUAUACAUAUUUAAGGAGAUAUCCAGUUCCAUGAAUGGCGUAGAAUUUUCGGUCAACCACAAGGAUUUCUCAAAAAUGUGAUGUUCAAAUUUGAAGAGUUAAAUUCUUUGCAAGAGCAGAAGGUGCUAGCCUCGGAAGAGGAUAUAAUGUGAUAAAUUUGUGUUAACAUUUUUUGCAGCUUCACUUCCCAUUAGUGUGCAAUUAUUGCUUUUUUCAUGUGGCUAUAUAUUUACGAUAAUUUCUAUCAUUCUAUUGUACAAAUUUACGGGCAUGGCAAAUUAACUUGUAUC